CGUCGCUGAGGAAGCGCUGAGGCUGACGCUGUGUCUCCAGGCCCGUCCUCGUCCCUGCCAACGUUGGGGGCUCUGACUGUAACUCAUGACUCGGGUGCCCAUCAUCAACAGGUGGUUUCUGCUUUUCCCUCGAGCUUACCUUGAGGACCUGCACUUCAAGCUACAGAUCGGAAGUGGAAUCUUUCAACAGGAAAUACGCAAGGACCCUCCAAGGACUGCCAUGAGCAUUGGUAAUAUUAUCACGGUGCCUUCAUGAAAUCUGCUUAACUCCUAAC
rnacentral:lncRNA from 1 species